GGAGAAGAAACGGUCACUACCUCAAGAAGUCUGAUAAGAAGCUGAGCUGAGACUAGAUGGUGAAAUUCGAACGCAAGCUAUGUUCCAAGUUUAUGGUUCCAGCAGCUCUGCAGUGCCAUGAGGAGCCUUGUGAAAUUGCCUUUAAAGAAAAGGCAAACCAUUUACCAGGUUUCCCCAUCUCCUCCCAUACCAUGGGCCAGAGGAGCAUGACCUUCUGGGUGAGGAGUUUCUAAAUUAUCAGACCAUGCCAAUGAUAUCCCUGCAGGACGAAACUGAAAUGGAAAGCUUCUGGGCUGAAAUGGCAACCCGGAAGCAUAAGGUGACAGGAGCCAAAGAAUUUAAGAGGCUUGCUGCUUUCGCCAAGCUUGUCCUGGUAUUGCCCCAUGCAAACGCAGAUGCUGAGAGGGUGUUUUCAUUUGUGGGACUGAACAAAACCAAGAGAAGAAACAGCCUAGCAUUGGAUGGCACCCUGUCCUCAAUAAUGACCAUAAAGAUGGCCAAUCUGGAGCCCUGCUUCAAAUGGGAGCCCCCCUCCGAUAUCAUCAAGGCCUCCAAGAAGGCCACAGGCCAGUAUAACCAUGCCGACAGAUCCUAGACAAGAGGCUCAUUUGAGAUGAGCCAGGUCUGCGCGGAAUCGAUCACCGGCGAUCACCGCCCAAUGCAUGCUGGUUAGAUUUGUGUCCGACUUGAUCCCCACUUUCUCUGACGUCAUGCACACGUGGGCAACGAUAACCUCAUGAGAUCAAGGCGGCCGCAGUUCUGAGACGCAGGCAGUGCAAUUGCUUUUCACCGACUGCAGGACCCAGGCGGACCCAGGACAAAAUCUCACUCCAAGGUUUUUUGAAAAGUUGGCAGCUGGCUGAUCUGCUGCUGUUGAUUCAACAUGAAGCCCUGUAGCAUUGCUAACAUAUCUGGUGUGCUAUCAGGAGUGCCAGUGCUGUGAACAGGUGUGGUGCCUCUUCUUUCCCCUUCACCACCCGUUGCACCUGGUGACUCCUCAUCAUCAGGCCUCUCCAUGACUAUAACCCCACCUGGUGACUCCUCAUCAUCAGGCCUCUCCAUGACUAUAAC